UGGGGAAUAUUGCACAAUGGGCGCAAGCCUGAUGCAGCGACGCCGCGUGCGGGAUGGAGGCCUUCGGGUUGUAAACCGCUUUUGUUCAAGGGCAAGGCACGGCUUCGGGCCGUGUUGAGUGGAUUGUUCGAAUAAGCACCGGCUAACUACGUGCCAGCAGCCGCGGUAAUACGUAGGGUGCGAGCGUUAUCCGGGUUUAUUGGGCGUAAAGGGCUCGUAGGCGGUUCGUCGCGUCCGGUGUGAAAGUCCAUCGCCUAACGGUGGAUCUGCGCCGGGUACGGGCGGGCUGGAGUGCGGUAGGGGAGACUGGAAUUCCCGGUGUAACGGUGGAAUGUGUAGAUAUCGGGAAGAACACCAAUGGCGAAGGCAGGUCUCUGGGCCGUUACUGACGCUGAGGAGCGAAAGCGUGGGGAGCGAACAGG
rnacentral:rRNA from 1 species